GCAGUGUGCAGACAGCUUUGCCUCGCGCGCUCUCGACACCACAGAAGUGUUUCUCGGCAUCCGCGCGCCUCCAUGGACGAAUGCUGUGGAAGAAAAUGGAGUCCAGUAGACUGAUGAUGUCAGGUACUACUUCUGACUAAUUCUUUACUAUCUAGAACUAUCCAGAAUGUAAUUCAGCAAUGUAAUUGAGUCCUCACAGUAGUUGUGUUUUUCUGCCGACUAAUAUCCAAGGUUCAAUAAGCUCUCAUGUUAUGCUGCAGAAAUAUUUAACUUUGUGCACUGUGUGCAAAACCGUGCACCCUUACUAAAUAACUGAAUUUGUAAUGAUGGUAUUAAUGCUUCAGGGUCUGUCUGUACACACAAGAAACAGACUGAAACAGACUCCUCUUUAACUCUUUUUAUCCAAAUGAUGAAACCAAAUAUUAAUACUAUUGUAAAAAAAAAAAAAAAAAUAA